UAGAUGCUCAAGGAUUUCCAGGGGGACUCCUGAGGCUCGAUCCUGCCUUUGCGUAUGUCGAGCCUCCUUCCUCAUGACCUUUGCCACGGGUGGAGGUCCUCCCGCCGGCUCCCUGCAGUGAAGAAUAUAUGCCCCACAUUUAAACUCAGGGAAGUCCAGUGACAUCUAAAAGAUGCUUUGGCUAUAUGUGUACUGAGAAGGGGGGCUUCUCUGGUGGGUCAGACGGUAAAGAAUCUACCUGCAAUGCAGAAGACACAGGUUCCAUUCCUAAGUCAGAAGAUCUCCUGGAGAAGGGAAUGGCAACCCACUCCAGUAUUCUUGCCUGGAGAAUUCCAUGGGUACAGGAGCCUGGCAGGCUAUAAUCCAUGGGGUCUCAAAGAGUACUGAGAAGGAUAGAUGGAUGCCCAAGGGCAGGACAGGUAUUAUUGUCAAUGUCCUCCCUGCAGUUGUGGGCAGAACAUGUCUGGGAGUAAUAACACUAAGCUAUAUUUAGAAUAAUCUGGAAUCUUCCAGUUGGAUGAAUUUUUGUUCAAAUAAACCAGAUUUGGAUGUUAUUAGUUAUGAUGCCAAUUGAAUCUUGGUUUGCCUCCAUCUUCAGGGAUGUUACUAACUUCACUUCACUGCUGUGACUUCGUGCCCAUGUGUGUGAUGUUUGAGUAGCAUCAGAUGGUAGGGUUUGUGGAGUAACCAGACAGCCACACCAGAAGCAGCAGAUUGUCCUCCUACGCUUUCUCCUGCGCUUAGCUUUAAUUUUUUAGGAGUUUGCUCCUGCCAAAGAACCAGAUCUCUAAUAACUGGUAUGAAGAAUGACACUCAAAUUAGUAAAACAUGUAAGAGCUUAGACAAUGAGAAAGGAAAGGCCUAAACUCUCAGUUGUUGAAUUCAUUAUAAAACAAAUUCCUAGGAAUUUUAAUGAAUACAAUUUCUGUGGGCCUCACAUUUGGAAACAAUGGGGUGGAAAAUAUGAAAUAACGUGUAACAGUAUUGCGACACAGAGAAUCAGAUCUAGAAGAGUUUAUUUUGGGCAGGGAAUGUUUUCCCAUCUUAGGUUCCUGUUUAGACUUAUGACCACUAGCUGGCAUGCGAAUUCUAGUUAAACUUGGAAACUGUUUAUUUUUGCCAUUUUUGCCAUUGGGACUUUCCUCAAUUUUUUAAGAUUGUCAAUAAAAUGUGUGCUAGUAGCUGGGCACGAUUUUUGUUCCAUGAUGCAUUAAGGCUUCACAGAAAUAUAAAAAAUUGAGUGUAAAUUAAAGGAGACAAUCUGAGACCUGCCAUUCUUGGUUUUUCCAGGUUUUCAGAUUCUCAUUUAGAAUUCACAGGAGUACUUUUCUAUGACAGGCAUACCCAUAAGCAAACAUUUUUAAAAGGGAUAAUCAGAACCCCCUGAAUUGUCUGUGGUUCAGGAAUCUUCACUGGCCUGUCAAAUUGGCAGAAGUCUCCUCUAAGGACCUCAGAAUUUAUCCCAGCUGGCACUGCUGAUUUGACCAGAUUAUGUUUCAGCCAGUCAUUGGCUGGGCCUCAUAAAGGCCUGUUUUCAUAGUUAACUGUCAGCACUGGGCUCUUCCCAAUUAAAAUCAGACUAAUGCCACUUCCAGCAGCUUGGCAACCUACCCCUUGAGUUUACCAUCUGUCGCUUCUGCUGUUUUUAACAGAUAAACCCCCACAUCUCAGGCUUAACCCAAUAAGAAGUGUUGUUUCUUGCCCAUGUCAUCCUAAACAGGUGUUCUAAUUGGCAGGCAGCAUCUCCCCAGCAGUGGUGCUUCAUGAAUCGGCAACAUGUGGUUUCCAAGUUGGCUGUCCUUUUUGGAAGGGUGGUAAAAUGAUGAGAUUGGAUGAGAGGAUAUCACAGAUCUCCACCAACUUUGACGAAUCUCCAGUCCAAGGACCAGGAUGUGCUAUUCUCUCAACCCUGCUCCUUAAUGCGAUAUCUAUGAAGAAUCUAGGAGCAUUUUCCAUUACCAGGCUCUAGGCUCUCCAGCUUCAGUAGUUGUGGCUCACGAGCUCAGCUGCUAUGAGGCAUGUUGGAUCUUCCUGGACCAGGGAUCAAACCCAUGUCUGCUGCACCAGCUGCCGGACUCCCAACCACUGAACCACCAGGGAAGUCACUCAAUGGCUUUUUUAACAUUAGAAUUCUUCAACUGUUUGUAAUAUUGCCCUGCAGACCUCUGUUUCCCUCUCUCUGUCUGUCACAGACAGACAUCUGUGACACACCCACACACAAACUAUCUUUAGUCUGGAAUCUCAAAAACAAAUAAAAGAAAGCAGAUUCAUAGGAGUUACCAAUUCAGAAGGACAAGUUUCUCUUUCAAGGACAGACAGCUUAGUAACCUUAGAUGUCUUUCUCACUACUUACAGUUCUGGGAAAUAUGCAAAACUAAUAUUUUAUCAGCAUCUUAUAUAGGAUUUGUCAUGUAUGUAUUAAACACAUAUUUGUUGAAUUCAUUUCUUAAUAACCAUGCUAAAGAUAACUGUGAAACCAUUCAAAAUGAUACCUACAAAAGGAAAUGGAAGCACUAUAGCUAUAUAGAGGCUUCUAAAAUCAUUGGAAGGAAAAAAAAAGGUAGUACAAGGUUACUGAUACUAUUAAUCGAGGCCUGAAACUCCUAUGUACUAUCUUUAGAAAGUAAUGGACUAGAGCAAAUGAAGUCAGGAUGUCUCAUUAUCAUAAAGUCUGGGAAUGUGAAUCCCACAGAGAAAAGGUUGACAGCUAGGGAAGAAAUGAGCAGAAAGAAUUAAGAAGGAAAUGCUAGAGGGUUUAACAUGAGGAGGGGUUUACAAAAGAUAAGGUUUGUUAAUUGAAAAUAAGAAGUGCUAAUAUUAAUAAAAAAAUGGGACUGACUGAAUGCCCAUAUGAGAUGUUAUCCAAGGUCUGGAGAGAUUUAGGAAAAGAGGAGACAUCAUAGUAAGAACUAUAAUACAUUAUAUUUGUACAGCAAAUUGCUUUUUGGUUUAGGAAGCUUUUCUACAGGCUUUAUUUUGUGUGAACUUUAUAAGUACUCUAUGAAGCAGAAUAAUUAUUAUUUAGGUUCAGGGAUAGUAAUAUUAUCAAGCCGCUUUCCUUUUCUUUCUUUUCUUCUUUUUUUUUUUUCAGACACACAGCAGAGUUUAUGGGGUCUUGGUUCCCCAAUCAGGGAUUGAACCCGCACCCUCAGCAGUGAAAGUGCGGAAGUCCCGAGCAGUUCCUUUAUGCUAAAAAUUUCACCUGUUUAUACAGUUUACUUGGAGUUAGAAAACCUGGGUUCAAAUUUCAGCUCUUCUACUUAUAAGCUAGGAGGCCUUGAGCAAGUUACUUAACAUCUCUGUUCUCAGUUUCUUUACAUAUAAGAUGAUCUAACAAAAAUUUUUAUUGAAGGGAUUGCUAUGAGGUUUCAAUGACUUAAGACAUUUAAAAUACUUACAACAGAGUCUGGCACACAGCAAGGACCUUCUCAAUGUUAUAUAUAAUAACAAUGAUACUAAUCACUUUCUUCCUUGAAGGAGAGAUUGAGGUUCUGAGAAGUUGAGUUUUUGAUCAGGGUCAUGCAAUUAGUCACGUUAAAAGCUCAAAGUUAGACUCUUAUUCCAAAUUCUCUGCUUUUCUAGAAACAUUGCAUAUUGCUCCAGUCAUUGUUUGUAGAGACAUUGAGACAGAAUAUUAAUAUAAAAAAUGGAAGAAUGUGUAUGUAUAAAAUCAAGCUGAAAACAUCCAUUGGGAGAAGAGUCUUCAGGUAAAGUGAGUACUUAAAUAAAUGUAGUAGGUAAGGAAGCUUUGAAGAGCUGUUUUAGCUUUGUGUCCAUAGGGUUUGGUACAGUGCAUGACACCCCCAACAUGAAACUGAAUUACUUUUUGAUCAUCUAAUAACCACUCUCCAAUAAAAAGCAAGAUUCCAAAUGGCCUUUGGGAAACCACCUGUAACCUACUCUUAGUCAUGAUAUUUGGGUGAGAAUGACUCCUAAUCACCUCCUAGCUCCAGGGGUGGAUGGUCACGAUUUGAAUCAUCUCCUCAAUAUCCUAUCUCCCUUGUCAGAGCAAAUGGCCAUAAAUGGUCAUGUCAAUCAAUUCAAACUAAAAUAAACCAAGGAGAAGUUUGCUGGAAUUUUGCAGGAGGAAAUUGCAUUUCUUCUUGGAAUUACUAGUAGGUGCACUUACAUUUUUCUUGGGUGAGGCCCUGUGAGGAUGUGAGGGCUGGCACUGCUGCAGCCAUUUUGCUAUUAUUAGAGAAACUGAAAGAGAAGAGUGGGGGAAGAAAAAUCUUUGGUGACAUCAGCUGUUUAUUGUGUGAGCUUAUAAAUAAACUGAGUGUUGUCUGGAGCCAGUCUUACUUCUGGACUUUUCAGUUAUGCAGCUCCUAUAUUUUUUAAAUAAAGAGUAUGUGUUUUUUCUUUUUGUCACUUGUAACACAAAAAGUGCUGAUACAGUAAAUUUUCAAUAUAUAGUUAUGAAAAAGAAUUUGCAGUAUUUAAAUAAGAUUGGUCCAUAACCCUAAUAUAUAAAAAGCUAUUAAAAACAGUUUAGAAGGAACUUCCCUGGCAGUAAAGAGGAUAGAAAUCCACUCGCCAAUGCAGGGGACAUGGGUUUGAUCCCUGGUCUCAAAGGAUUCCACAUGCCACGGAGCAACAAGCCUGAG